ACAGUAGUCUCUCCGUUCGAAAAUACUUGCCAUCAGAAUGAAUAAAAAAAUGUAUCUAGACAUAUUUUAGUUUUAGAUACAUCAUUUUUCAUCCAUUUUGAUGACAAGUACGUCUAGAUACAUCAUUUUUCAUCCAUUUUGAUGACAAAUAUUUUCGGACGGAGGGUGUACCAA
rfam:Triticum aestivum genome assembly, contig: Triticum_aestivum_CS42_TGACv1_scaffold_499600_6BL